UAUGUUGGAACAAAACACAGAAUAAAACUUUUUUUUUCUUCACAGUGGUUCUCGUGUCCCAGGCUCCACCACAGGAGCUCCAUGUCUUCACCUCUACAAUAUGUGGCAGAUGAGAUAAAAUCCGCAGGAUGUCGUGUCCAGUGGAGGAGUGUAAGUGCUUCGUGUUUCAGCUGGACAAGCAGUUGGAGCAACAAUAGAAAAUGAAGUUUAACACACAAAGGGAGGAGUGAACAUAAGAUGUAGAAAAUGAAGCAGGCCUGAAUCAAUGAGGGUGUUGAAGAAAGUAAAGGCCUGCAGUGGACCUGAGGAGAGGCCCGUCCCUGACUGGUUGAUGGGCCGGAUGGUGUGGCACAUUUUAUUUUAAAUGUUUAUU